GAGUGGCCUCCCAGCAUGUCCGCAGGCUUGGGUUAGCUGUGCUUGGGGACAGGGACACUGAGGUUGUUAAUCCUGUCCUAAAUAUUUCUCUCUCUUUCGCAGCACCUCAUUGGGCAGGGAAGGAAAUGGACAGGAAAACCCUAUUCCACAACACAGGGAGAAGCUGAAGUUUUAACCAUCUUGCUAUGGCAUCUGACUUUUUUGAGGAGGAGAGUGCACCCAAGGGCAGAUGCAGUGAGGUCCACGAUGGGGAAAAUGAAUCCAGCAGUCCAUCCUAUCCUGUACCUGCCUGAGUACAGGAACAGACUUCAUACAAAGCCAGAAUGCAUCUGGGCUUGCAGCUCUUUUUAACCAUAUUAAGUCCUAUUCAGAGUUAAUGAUGAGCUCAGUGACACUGGUCUCAGCAAUGCUGAAGAAGGGAAGAACAGUGGUGGAAGGCAGGAGCUAUUCCAAAGCAGGAUUCUUCUUUCCCUAACACCCAAACAUGAAGACUUUAUAAACUGCAUUAGAUCCUGCCAUCAAUGACUGAGCCUCCCUGAAAUCUUCUUAUCAGUUCCUGCCGAGAUGAGAAGGAUAGGAGGAAGGAGGAGUGCCUAAGUGGUUUUAAUGACAGUUAAUUUAAUCUAUUUAUCAAAUGAUAGGUUGUUUUUUCCUCAAAACUUGAUUGUCAUGACAAGAUGCUUUUGGAAGUCAUCUUUGUAAAAUAAAACUGACAAUUUUUAGGCUACAAAGAGCUAUUGUAUCUUUCUACACAAUGUUGUCAUUAUGGUAAACUGCUGGAAAGUAUUUUUGAAGUAAUUUAACUUGCAUACUUCAUUCAUUUAUUUGAAUGUCUGUUGAAUGCCAUGUGAAAAGUUUCUUGCCAGAGUUCUUUUAUUCAAUGGAAUAGUUAUUCUUACAAUGCUCGAUUUAUUAUUGUCUAAAUUACUGUUGCCUUAGCCUCCUGCAAAAAUGUUUCUUUUUAGUAAUUCUUAAACAAAUAAGGAAUGAAUGAGGUUUUGUCCCCUUCGUGUUUU